rnacentral:tRNA from 2 species
UGUGCCUGUAGCUCAAUUGGAUAGAGCAUCAGAUUGCGGUUCUGAAGGUUGGAAGUUCAAAUCUUCUCAGGCACGUUUA